AACGCACAUUGCGCCCUCUGGUAUUCCGGGGGGCAUGCCUGUCCGAGCGUCAUUGCAACCCUCAAGCGCGGCUUGUGUGUUGGGCCUUCGUCCCCUGUGGACGUGCCCGAAAUGCAGUGGCGGCGUCGUGUUCCGGUGCCCGAGCGUAUGGGGCUUUGUCACCCGCUCAUGGAGGCCCGGCCGGCCCCGGCCAACCCCCAAUCGAGGACUCGUUCCUCAACCAAGGUUGACCUCGGAUCAGGUAGGGAUACCCGCUGAACUUAA
rnacentral:misc_RNA from 1 species